AGCAGCCGCGGUAAUUCCAGCUCCAAUAGCGUAUAUUAAAGUUGUUGCAGUUAAAAAGCUCGUAGUUGAAUUUCGAGAUCAAAUUGUUGGUCGUGCCUUGGUACGUACUGGCAUUAUUGGUUUCUCCCUUCUGAAGAACCAUGAUGUCAUUAAUUUGGUGUCAUGGGGAAUCAGGACUGUUACUUUGAAAAAAUUAGAGUGUUUAAAGCAGGCUCGCGCUUGAAUACAUUAGCAUGGAAUAAUGAAAUAGGACGUUUAAUUCUAUUUUGUUGGUUUCUAGGAUUGACGUAAUGAUUAAUAGGGAUAGUUGGGGGCAUUAGUAUUCAAUUGUCAGAGGUGAAAUUCUUGGAUUUAUUGAAGACUAACUACCGCGAAAGCAUUUGCCAAGGAUGUUUUCAUUAAUCAAGAACGAAAGUUAGGGGAUCGAAGACGAUCAGAUACCGUCGUAGUCUUAACCAUAAACUAUGCCGACUAGGGAUCGGAUGAUGUAAUUUUUAAUGACUCAUUCGGCGCCUUAAC
rnacentral:rRNA from 1 species